rnacentral:rRNA from 1 species
UACGGGGGAAAGGAGGGGACCUUCGGGCCUUUCGCGAUUGGAUGAACCCAGGUGGGAUUAGCUAGUUGGUGGGGUAAUGGCUCACCAAGGCGACGAUCCCUAGCUGGCCUGAGAGGAUGAUCAGCCACACUGGAACUGAGACACGGUCCAGACUCCUACGGGAGGCAGCAGUGGGGAAUAUUGCACAAUGGGGGAAACCCUGAUGCAGCCAUGCCGCGUGUGUGAAGAAGGCCUUCGGGUUGUAAAGCACUUUCAGCGAGGAGGAAAGGUUGGUCGCUAAUAACGGCCAACUGUGACGUU